GACGAACGCUGGCGGCGUGCUUAACACAUGCAAGUCGAACGGUGAAGCGCCUUCCUUUUUGGUGGGUGUGGAUGAGUGGCGAACGGGUGAGUAACACGUGAGUAACCUUCCCCCUUCUUCUGGAUAACCGCAUGAAAUUGUGGCUAAUACGGGAUAUUUUGGGUCUGUCGCAUGAUGGGUCUGGGAAAGUUUUUGUUUCGGUGGGGGAUGGGCUCGCGGUCUAUCAGCUUGUUGGUGGGGUGAUGGCCUACCAAGGCGGUGAAGAGUAGCCGGCCUGAGAGGGUGGACGACCAGAGUGGGGAGGAGACACGGACAAGACUCCUACGGGAGGCAGCAGUGAGGAAUACGGCACGAUGGGAGGAAGGAUGAUGCAGCGACGCCGCGUGAGUGAUGGAGGCCUGCGGGUUGUGAACCUCUUUCGGGAGUGAAGCAGGCCUGCCUUGUUUGUGGGUGGGUUGACGGUAGCUGGAUAAGAAGCGCCGGCUAACUACGUG
rnacentral:rRNA from 1 species